CCUGGGCUUGUUCACUCACCAGAGAGGGCAACUUUCUGCAGACACACAAGCCAGAGA
ensembl:miRNA gga-mir-7482-1 gga-mir-7482-4